GCCGCGUGAGUGAUGAAGGUUUUCGGAUCGUAAAACUCUGUUGUUAGGGAAGAACAAGUACCGUUCGAAUAGGGCGGUACCUUGACGGUACCUAACCAGAAAGCCACGGCUAACUACGUGCCAGCAGCCGCGGUAAUACGUAGGUGGCAAGCGUUGUCCGGAAUUAUUGGGCGUAAAGCGCGCGCAGGCGGUUUCUUAAGUCUGAUGUGAAAGCCCCCGGCUCAACCGGGGAGGGUCAUUGGAAACUGGGGAACUUGAGUGCAGAAGAGGAGAGUGGAAUUCCACGUGUAGCGGUGAAAUGCGUAGAGAUGUGGAGGAACACCAGUGGCGAAGGCGACUCUCUGGUCUGUAACUGACGCUGAGGCGCGAAAGCGUGGGGAGCGAACAGGAUUAGAUACCCUGGUAGUCCACGCCGUAAACGAUGAGUGCUAAGUGUUAGAGGGUUUCCGCCCUUUAGUGCUGCAGCAAACGCAUUAAGCACUCCGCCUGGGGAGUACGGUCGCAAGACUGAAACUCAAAGGAAUUGACGGGGGCCCGCACAAGCGGUGGAGCAUGUGGUUUAAUUCGAAGCAACGCGAANAACCUUACCAGGUCUUGACAUCCUCUGACAACCCUAGAGAUAGGGCUUCCCC
rnacentral:rRNA from 1 species